rnacentral:rRNA from 1 species
AUUAGAGUUUGAUCCUGGCUCAGGACAAACGCUGGCGGCGUGCUUAACACAUGCAAGUCGAACGGUGACGGAGGAGCUUGCUCUUCCUGAUCAGUGGCGAACGGGUGAGUAACACGUGAGUAACCUGCCCUUGACUCUGGGAUAACUCCGGGAAACCGGGGCUAAUACUGGAUACGAAGCGCCUCGGCAUCGGGUGCGCUUGGAAAGUUUUUCGGUCAAGGAUGGACUCGCGGCCUAUCAGCUUGUUGGCGGGGUAACGGCCCACCAAGGCGUCGACGGGUAGCCGGCCUGAGAGGGCGACCGGCCACACUGGGACUGAGACACGGCCCAGACUCCUACGGGAGGCAGCAGUGGGGAAUAUUGCACAAUGGGCGAAAGCCUGAUGCAGCGACGCCGCGUGAGGGAUGAAGGCCUUCGGGUUGUAAACCUCUUUCAGUAGGGAAGAAGCGAAAGUGACGGUACCUGCAGAAGAAGCGCCGGCUAACUACGUGCCAGCAGCCGCGGUAAUAAU